rnacentral:rRNA from 1 species
GGAUCCAGACUUUGAUCCUGGCUCAGGAUGAACGCUAGCUACAGGCUUAACACAUGCAAGUCGAGGGGCAGCGGGAUUGAAGCUUGCUUCAAUUGCCGGCGACCGGCGCACGGGUGAGUAACGCGUAUCCAACCUUCCGUACACUCAGGGAUAGCCUUUCGAAAGAAAGAUUAAUACCUGAUAGUAUCUUAAGCACACAUGUAAUUAAGAUUAAAGAUUUAUCGGUGUACGAUGGGGAUGCGUUCCAUUAGGUAGUAGGCGGGGUAACGGCCCACCUAGCCAACGAUGGAUAGGGGUUCUGAGAGGAAGGUCCCCCACAUUGGAACUGAGACACGGUCCAAACUCCUACGGGAGGCAGCAGUGAGGAAUAUUGGUCAAUGGACGAGAGUCUGAACCAGCCAAGUAGCGUGAAGGAUGAAGGUCCUACGGAUUGUAAACUUCUUUUAUAAGGGAAUAAACCCUCCCACGUGUGGGAGCUUGUAUGUACCUUAUGAAUAAGCAUCGGCUAACUCCGUGCCAGCAGCCGCGGUAAUACGGAGGAUGCGAGCGUUAUCCGGAUUUAUUGGGUUUAAAGGGAGCGCAGACGGGUCGUUAAGUCAGCUGUGAAAGUUUGGGGCUCAACCUUAAAAUUGCAGUUGAUACUGGCGUCCUUGAGUGCGGUUGAGGUGUGCGGAAUUCGUGGUGUAGCGGUGAAAUGCUUAGAUAUCACGAAGAACUCCGAUUGCGAAGGCAGCACACUAAUCCGUAACUGACGUUCAUGCUCGAAAGUGUGGGUAUCAAACAGGAUUAGAUACCCUGGUAGUCCACACGGUAAACGAUGGAUACUCGCUGUUGGCGAUAUACUGUCAGCGGCUUAGCGAAAGCGUUAAGUAUCCCACCUGGGGAGUACGCCGGCAACGGUGCAACUCAAAUGAAUUGACGG